AUUGAACGCUGGCGGCAGGCCUAACACAUGCAAGUCGAACGGUAACAGGAAGCAGCUUGCUGCUUUGCUGACGAGUGGCGGACGGGUGAGUAAUGUCUGGGAAACUGCCCGAUGGAGGGGGAUAACUACUGGAAACGGUAGCUAAUACCGCAUAACGUCGCAAGACCAAAGAGGGGGACCUUAGGGCCUCUUGCCAUCGGAUGUGCCCAGAUGGGAUUAGCUAGUAGGUGGGGUAACGGCUCACCUAGGCGACGAUCCCUAGCAGGUCUGAGAGGAUGACCAGCCACACUGGAACUGAGACACGGUCCAGACUCCUACGGGAGGCAGCAGUGGGGAAUAUUGCACAAUGGGCGCAAGCCUGAUGCAGCCAUGCCGCGUGUAUGAAGAAGGCCUUCGGGUUGUAAAGUACUUUCAGCGGGGAGGAAGGGAGUAAAGUUAAUACCUUUGCUCAUUGACGUUACCCGCAGAAGAAGCACCGGCUAACUCCGUG
rnacentral:rRNA from 1 species